CUCUGUGACUCCUACGGGAGGCAGCAGUGGGGAAUAUUGCACAAUGGGGGAAACCCUGAUGCAGCCAUGCCGCGUGUGUGAAGAAGGCCUUCGGGUUGUAAAGCACUUUCAGUAGGGAGGAAGGUAGUGUAGUUAACACCUGCACUAUUUGACGUUACCUACAGAAGAAGCACCGGCUAACUCCGUGCCAGCAGCCGCGGUAAUACGGAGGGUGCGAGCGUUAAUCGGAAUUACUGGGCGUAAAGCGCAUGCAGGCGGCCUGUUAAGUCAGAUGUGAAAGCCCCGGGGCUUAACCUCGGAAUUGCAUUUGAAACUGGCAGGCUAGAGUCUUGUAGAGGGGGUAGAAUUUCAGGUGUAGCGGUGAAAUGCGUAGAGAUCUGAAGGAAUACCAGUGGCGAAGGCGGCCCCCUGGACAGAUACUGACACUCAGAUGCGAAAGCGUGGGGAGCAAACAGGAUUAGAUACCCUGGUAG
rnacentral:rRNA from 1 species